UACGUAGGGUGCAAGCGUUAAUCGGAAUUACUGGGCGUAAAGCGUGCGCAGGCGGUGAUGUAAGUCAGAUGUGAAAUCCCCGGGCUCAACCUGGGACCUGCAUUUGUGACUGCAUCGCUAGAGUACGGUAGAGGGGGAUGGAAUUCCGCGUGUAGCAGUGAAAUGCGUAGAUAUGCGGAGGAACACCGAUGGCGAAGGCAAUCCCCUGGGCCUGUACUGACGCUCAUGCACGAAAGCGUGGGGAGCAAACAGG
rnacentral:rRNA from 1 species